GACUCACAUGGCAGGACAAGAUGGUGGUUGAGUAAGAAAAGAGAACUACCUCCAUCAAUUCAUGCCGUAUCUAUGAUCAAUCGUUCUUCGAAAUUAAACCCAAGUCCACCACCGCAAGUAGAGUACUGACUAAAUAGGGCCAGCUACAGUUACCAGAGUGACUGUAAUGAAAGUUGACAUAUCUCGAAGGGGAAGAAGCAGAAGUACUGGACUGGUGAAGAUGAGCAGCUCACGCCAGGGCCAAUGGUUCUUGGGCAUCAGUUGUGACAAAGAGUGAGGAGAAACGAUGUUGGCUUCAAAUUCAACUCAUUCCAUCGAUUGUUCUUCAAAGGCAUGUCCUAGUUGAAUACAUUUUAUGGCCAACACGGUAAAAAUGAGGUCAAUGAUCAGAUCGAAGUUUUAAAGACUAUCUGUGUAACUUCCAGCCAGUGAGAACUAAAGGACUUACCUACAUCUUUAUGUGUCUCUGAUGAUGACAUCCAAUGCAUUAGGACCAUUUGCUGUAGAGACUAGAGGAUCAAUGUAUGAGGGAAGA